ensembl:lncRNA
CGAUGACUGGCAUCCGCGGAAGCCCAAGGAGGAGUCCGCCGCGAGCACAGAAUGUCAAAAGUGAAAGCGGCAACACGAAAAAGAGCCCAUACGGCGGCUUGGAUACUGCAGAUCGUAGCCCUUCGGCUUUCAGCAAGUAUCAGUGGAGAAACGAAGCACAAACUCAUUCAGUGACUCUCUUAAUUAAGGUCCACGUAAUUAGUAAGAACCAAGAUUUCAUUGUUGCCAGAAGUUUCAUAUACCAGAGCGUAUUCUAGGUUACACAGAGCGCCCUCAACAUACGUAAUGGUUUUGAGAAGAAAUAGUGAAUCUUACAGAUGUUUGUGGCAGUUCUGAAGGGGAGUGAAGAGACGAUCCAGCCCAACAGAAAGGGUGACACAAGAUAGGAUCACAGAUGGGAAAAGAAAAGUUAAUAUGAGGAGAGGCAACAAAGACUUUUUUUU